UACGGGGGGGGCAAGCGCUGUUCGGAAUUACUGGGCGUAAAGGGCUCGUAGGUGGCCAACUAAGUCAUACGUGAAAUCCCUCGGCUUAACCGGGGAACUGCGUCUGAUACUGGAUGGCUUGAGUUUGGGAGAGGGAUGCGGAAUUCCAGGUGUAGCGGUGAAAUGCGUAGAUAUCUGGAGGAACACCGGUGGCGAAGGCGGCAUCCUGGACCAAUACUGACACUGAGGAGCGAAAGCCAGGGGAGCAAACGGG
rnacentral:rRNA from 1 species